AUUGAACGCUGGCGGCAUGCUUUACACAUGCAAGUCGAACGGUAACAGGCCGCAAGGUGCUGACGAGUGGCGAACGGGUGAGUAAUGCAUCGGAACGUGCCCAGUCGUGGGGGAUAACUACUCGAAAGAGUAGCUAAUACCGCAUACGAUCUAUGGAUGAAAGCGGGGGACCGUAAGGCCUCGCGCGAUUGGAGCGGCCGAUGUCAGAUUAGGUAGUUGGUGGGGUAAAGGCUCACCAAACCAACGAUCUGUAGCUGGUCUGAGAGGACAACCAGCCACACUGGGACUGAGACACGGCCCAGACUCCUACGGGAGGCAGCAGUGGGGAAUUUUGGACAAAGGGCGCAAGCCUGAUCCAGCAAUGCCGCGUGCAGGAAGAAGGCCUUCGGGUUGUAAACUGCUUUUGUACGGAACGAAACGGCUCUGGUUAAUACCCGGGGCUAAUGACGGUACCGGAAGAAUAAGCACCGGCUAACUACGUG
rnacentral:rRNA from 1 species